rnacentral:rRNA from 1 species
ACGGAUGAAGCCAGUGUUACUCAUCUUCAAUGGGCGUAAAGUGCGCGUAGGUGACUAAAUAAAUACUUUAGUAAAAUUUGAAUUUUAUGAUUCUUUGCCUAAUUUUUUUGUUUAGUUUGAGUUCUUAAGAGGUAAACGGUAUGGUCAGAGGAGGGUUAACAUUUUAUGAUACUGAUUAGACCACCAGUGGUGAAAACGGUUUACUUGUAUUAACUGACACUAAAAUGCGCGAAAGCGUGGGGAGCAAACAG